GAUGAACGCUGGCGGCGUGCUUAACACAUGCAAGUCGAACGGAAAGGCUCCUGCUUGCAGGGGUACUCGAGUGGCGAACGGGUGAGUAACACGUGGGUGAUCUGCCCUGCACUUCGGGAUAAGCCUGGGAAACUGGGUCUAAUACCGGAUAGGACCACAUUUUGGAUGGUGUGGUGGAAAGUUUUUCGGUGUGGGAUGAGCUCGCGGCCUAUCAGCUUGUUGGUGGGGUAAUGGCCUACCAAGGCGUCGACGGGUAGCCGGCCUGAGAGGGUGUACGGCCACAUUGGGACUGAGAUACGGCCCAGACUCCUACGGGAGGCAGCAGUGGGGAAUAUUGCACGAUGGGCGCAAGCCUGAUGCAGCGACGCCGCGUGGGGGAUGACGGCCUUCGGGUUGUAAACUCCUUUCGCUAGGGACGAAGCGCAAGUGACGGUACCUGGAGAAGAAGCACCGGCUAACUACGUG
rnacentral:rRNA from 1 species